UACGGAGGGUGCGAGCGUUGUCCGGAAUCAUUGGGCGUAAAGGGCGCGUAGGUGGCUUCUUAGGCGUGCGGUGAAAGCCUGGGGCUCAACCCCGGGUCGGCCGUGCGAACUGGGGGGCUGGAGCACUGUAGAGGCAGGCGGAAUUCCGGGUGUAGCGGUGGAAUGCGUAGAGAUCCGGAAGAACACCGGUGGCGAAGGCGGCCUGCUGGGCAGUUGCUGACACUGAGGCGCGACAGCGUGGGGAGCAAACAGG
rnacentral:rRNA from 1 species